UGGGGAAUAUUGCACAAUGGGCGCAAGCCUGAUGCAGCGACGCCGCGUGGGGGAUGAAGGCCUUCGGGUUGUAAACUCCUUUCGCUAGGGACGAAGCCUUUUAUUAGGUGACGGUACCUGGAUAAGAAGCACCGGCUAACUACGUGCCAGCAGCCGCGGUAAUACGUAGGGUGCAAGCGUUGUCCGGAAUUACUGGGCGUAAAGAGCUCGUAGGUGGUUUGUCGCGUCGUCUGUGAAAUUCCGGGGCUUAACUCCGGGCGUGCAGGCGAUACGGGCAUAACUUGAGUGCUGUAGGGGAGACUGGAAUUCCUGGUGUAGCGGUGAAAUGCGCAGAUAUCAGGAGGAACACCGAUGGCGAAGGCAGGUCUCUGGGCAGUAACUGACGCUGAGGAGCGAAAGCAUGGGUAGCGAACAGG
rnacentral:rRNA from 1 species